rnacentral:snRNA from 1 species
GUGCUCGUUUCGGCAGCACAUAUACUAAUAUUGGAACGAUACAGAGAAGAUUUAGCAUGGUCCCUGAGCAAGGAUGACACGCACGUUCAUGAAGUGUUCCAUAUUUUU